AAUUUUUAAAAAAUAUAUAUUAAAAUUUUAAAAAAUAAUAUUAUAGAACAUUUAAAAUAUACAUUAAAAUAUUAUAAAACCAAUAAUAAACAAAUAAAUAAAACAAAUAAAGGACAAAUAAGAAAAUACUAAAAAAGUAAAUAAAGAAAAACAAAAUAAUUGAAAAAGGACAAAGAAAUGAAAGAGAGAAUCAGAAAAAGCAACAAAUGAAAAAAAAUAAAAAAUUCAGGUUGUUUGAAUAGGCAACAUAAUAGGCUAGGGUGUUGGAAUCAGUGACAUCAAAUUAUUUGACUCCACCAAAAAAAGGUAAAAUUGCUUAAAGC
rnacentral:lncRNA from 1 species